GGAGUGGUAGUUCAGUUUGGUUAGAAUGCCUGCCUGUCACGCAGGAGGUCGCGGGUUCGAGUCCCGUCCACUCCGCCA
rnacentral:tRNA from 4 species